UUCGGUUCACCAAGAAAGAAGAGUAGCGAACGGGUGAGUAACACGUGGGUAACCUGCCCAUCAGCGGGGGAUAACACUUGGAAACAGGUGCUAAUACCGCAUAAUACUUUUUCUCUCAUGAGUGAAAGUUGAAAGGCGCUUUUGCGUCACUGAUGGAUGGACCCGCGGUGCAUUAGCUAGUUGGUAGGGUAACGGCCUACCAAGGCAACGAUGCAUAGCCGACCUGAGAGGGUGAUCGGCCACACUGGGACUGAGACACGGCCCAGACUCCUACGGGAGGCAGCAGUAGGGAAUCUUCGGCAAUGGACGAAAGUCUGACCGAGCAACGCCGCGUGAGUGAAGAAGGUUUUCGGAUCGUAAAACUCUGUUGUUAGAGAAGAACAAGGAUGAGAAGAGAAUGUUCAUCCCUUGACGGUAUCUAACCAGAAAGCCACGGCUAACUACGUGCCAGCAGC
rnacentral:rRNA from 1 species